UAUACAAUUGUGAUGACGAAUUCCUUCCUUUGUUCGAGAACAAUCUUAUUGAAAUAUAAAUCUGUGAUUUUACUAUGUCCACAACUUCAAUGAACCAAAGCAAAAGUUAUACACCGACCUGUAUUUAAAUCAAAUUGCUUCUCUUCUUCUUCUUCUUUUUCUUCUUCUUCUGGUAUACAAUAGUCUAUCGACAUUUGGUGAUAACAUACUGUUGGCAUACGUGGACUAGUCUAUUUACAAAACUUUUACCCCAAUUUAUUCAAAAUAUAUGUUUUUUUCUUAUGUUCAAUGUAUACAUGUAUAUAUUUUAAAUUGCGCUAUAGUUCCGUAACUUUCUACCCAGUCGUAUAAACGAAUCGUCGACAAGUGCGUACAUUUUAUUAAAUCAAUAUUUCUGGUAUGUUCCAAUCUGUCCUUCACUAUUGACAAUGAGUAUAUAUAUUACAUUUUCCCAAAUUCACCCUUGGAAAAAAUAUUCAAAUAGAUUUUAAUUUCAUCAAAUC
rnacentral:lncRNA from 1 species